rnacentral:misc_RNA from 1 species
GAUGUGUAGGAAAAAAGUUUUCUAUGUGUGCAGGAGCGCCUCGAAUGCGGCUGGCAGGUUUCAUGUAUAGUGAUGGGAAUGCUUUUGAGUGCCACAUCAAAGCAUGACCCUAUCGCUGUCUCGGCGUGGUUCUUGGAGGUGGGUUGUUCGAUUUCUGAAGCGCGGGCUAGCCCUUUGACGGUCUGGCCAUGUGGCCUAUAUGUGGGUUUUGUCGGGAAAAAAAGUGUUUACCGUAGGAAAUAUCCACCAGGAUAAACGGUAAUAGACUACAGCAUCUAACUGGAAGACGUGUGUCUCACUUUCUCAGCUGACAUUUUGCGUGCUGCGCAGGGUCGAGGCGAUAUUCGGAAACCUCAGUGAUGCAGAAGUUUGGGGUGGCAGUGCGGGAAACCGCGGGGUCGAAGUGUUCGCUUCAGGUCAAGCAUUUGCGCCAAGUGAAGAAGAGCUGGCGUAUCUGGGCUAAACGGAUCUCGGGAGGGGGGGGGGGAAGCACACCGCCAAGCCCAGUUUGCGGACAUGAAAAUAAGUUCUGCUGCUGCAAUGAACUCCAUCGACCAGAGAAAAGCAAGAUUUUUCUUUUCUCCGCGAGUGCAAGACUGGCUUCAGCCUGGCACCGACAGAGGCUUUGUGUGGCGCCAGGAGGUGGGGAUACGCGUGGCUCCGAUUCGGUCGCGGCUGUUAACUGAGGUCCGAGUGCUCUGCGGCUGAGAAGCCGAUGCGCCAUUGGCGACGCUGCUCAUAGACUUUCUUUAGGAUGAAGUUACAGCAAACAGAACAAACGCUUCAUGUGGUUUUUGACGGAGCAGCUAGGGCUUGUCUUAGAUACCAGCACGAGUUCCGACACCUGCCUGAGUGCGAAAAAGGAAAGUUCUCUAGUGGAAACCGGAUGGUAGUACCACUCUAUAGGACUGCUUGCUCCUGGGACGCACUGCGGACAGGUUCCGCAGCGCUCUUCGCAGUCAGAUUUUGUAUCCUUUUACCUCUUCCUAUAUCCAUAUGUUUUCUUCUUCCUUUCUUUUGUGAGCCCCUGCUCUGUUGUCGACUUGACUGCCAG